GCCCUACAUACCUUGUUGAUGGAGUUAUAUACUGUUUCCGAGACCUCGAAAGCCUUAGGAAUGAUUUCCUACAUAAUACGAACCAUUCAAAAUCAAAUUCAAGCUCAUAGCUUAUAUAAUUCUUCAUUUAGACAUUUACGCAAACAACUUGUGGCCAUAAAUUUGUAGACUCUUUUGUAGAUUAAUUUUCCCCCAACAAUCAAGCCAUAUUAAGAGAGGUUUCUUAACAAAAUCAAGAACAUUUCUAUACAGGUUUCAACUAUUUCUUAAGAAUUCUUAUGGUAGAAGUUUACAAAGACCAAAGAGGAAGUUAAAUCAUACCUUAUGUGACCAGAAUUACUCAAAAUUCGAAAUUACUUCAAGGCGGAGUCUUGCUAUGAAAAGUGAAACACCGAAGAAUUCAUGAUUCCGAAGCUACCAUGGUGUUCUCCAUCUUGAGGAUGACUAAAUUGUUGUUAUGCUUGGCUAGAUGGAUGGGAGGAGUUUGAGAGGAAAUCCCUAGGUUUUUGGUUCUGUUUUGG
rnacentral:lncRNA from 1 species